ensembl:lncRNA
AGGAAUUAGGAGAGUUGUUGUAUAUAUUGUCGAUUUUUUGGAUUAAUGUUUGUAGUUUUUCGAGUUUUCUCCUGAAUUCAGAGAUGGGCGGUAAAUUGUUGAGUGCUGCUAUUGAGUGUAUAGUGCACGAUACACUUGAUACAGUAUCUUGAUGAUUGAAGCAAAUGUCUGAUCAAAGGAACAUUUAUAGCACCAGAUCACGAAAUAUGGAAAUUUGUUACAGACGGUCAUCCUGUAAUGUUCAACAAGUAGUACACCCUUACAUUUGGAUACGCUAACCAUGAGAGGUUAGUGAUCUAUCAGUAAUGAAUGAAUGGAUUGGAUCAAACUAAGCAUGAGCUGAGUUUGUGUUUGCAGGUAACAGACACGUCUCCCACCCUCUGCUUUUCUUUUGGGCUGAAGAGCAAUAAAAGUGGAGAUUAACACUGGGGGGGGUCUGGAACAGAUGGGUCUGAUGCUAAGUUGAUUUAUUAUCUCCUGGUACUUUUUGGGAUCAAGGGACUCACAAUCUUCAUUGUUGUUUUAUGACCCUGAAGGGUUUGGAGAACCUUUUGUUGAUAUCACCGGGGUUUGAGGUUCACAUUCUGAUACAUUGAUUGAAGUUUUAGUGACUGAUACUGCAAAUGCUCGACCACUUGUGAAAGUGGUAGCAAAGGUCAGCAAAUUGACUGUAAUGAUGGAGGCCUUCAGUGAGGCCAUCAAAUGGUUUAUUUUAAUGGGGAAGUAAGCAAAAAUGGGAAAACAGGUUGAGGAGUUAUGCAGUAAUGCAUAGGUUUUCAAAGGUCAUCAUGACCGAGCAAACAGGCUGAAGGUAAAAGGAGAAGAAAUUGACUGUGAGGGUGAGAAUGUGGGGUAACAUUUUUGUGUAUACUUGGAAUGAGCAGAUUGCUUUGAGGUUAGAAUGAACAAAGAGAACUGGGUUGGUCAAUUAGUUGAUGAAGACAUGGAACAGUCAUACACUGUGGGGGUGAGACCUACAAGCAAAACUCAAAGGGAUCAUUGAACGGGGACACGAAGGCAAUGUUGGUGUUAAUUUUUCAUGAGUUGACUAUGGGGGUCAAUAAUCAGUUAUGUCGAAGAUUCCAAAUUUCUAUAUAUGAAUGGCUCCUCGAAUCGAUUGGAAACAAGGCCGUUUGAGAAAGGCAAUUUUUCAAAACAGUGUGUAAAUACUCUAGGAGCAGAUAAAGAUAUGCAGAGGCAUUCUUUACGUCAACGCAUCACAUUCUUCAUUCAGCUGAGGCUCUAAUCCAAAGCGACUUGCAGGAAGUGAAUUUGAACAAGAGGGAACAGAACCAGAACAGCAAGAACAAAGAAGGGAUUUCUCCUUCUAAGAAAGCAACAUUUGUGAGUGUCAUCCAGGUGCUAAUUCUUCAGUUGUAGUAGUAGGUAGGUAUGUGUGUUUAUUUUGUUCAUUAGGGAACUCCUUCCACCAUCAGGUGAACAUCAGGAGUCAGGACAAAUGAUGACUUUGUUGGGAGUUUAGCUCCCAGUAAAAGAAACAAUAGGCAGAUGCUGAGAUGGGAGUGAAUUAGGGACGAGGAUAGAUUUCAAAGGGGAUGGCGACUCAUGGUCGAGGAGGGAGUGAGCAGACCUCCCUAAAACAACAACUGAUAAGAGGAGGAAUCCUGGGGAAGUGUCGGAGCCAUAAAAUUCAUCCACAGGUUGUAUGUCAUCUAAGAGUCAUUUACGAAUCACACACGGUUGGUAUGGGGGGAAUUAUUUCACUAUGAUAAAUUUACUGACACAUUUUUCCUCGAAUACAUGUGCAUGGCAAUUGUUAACUAUGUUUUGCUUUUCAGUAGGAACAGGCGACUCCAAUGCGAGACGGUCCAGAUCGGCAACGACACCCAGUAGAAACGGCGUUGUGGGGGUUUUACGACAUUGUUAGAUAAGCCAGGAGGUGGCCUGGGGUUGAUUAGCAUCACCAAAGGCUAUGUGAAGGGAUGCUUUUACACCUACCUCAACAUGAGGGACUGGGGGAGAACAGAAUACAACUAGAGUAUCUGCCGAUUUGGGAACAUUAUUGCAUGCAGUGUAAAACACAAUCAUAAGAUUCUAAACAACAGAUAUGUGUAGAUGACAUUGAUUUAAGGUGUUAAGAAGAACAAUCAGUCUUUCUAUCAAUGAAACAACUCACAAAUUGAUUAGAAUAUUUUUAGGAAAACACUAGAUGUUAGAGUUUAGCUACUCAAGUGGCAUUUUAGGGAUAACAGCAGACGAUGGCCAACGCAGGAAGAUUCAACAUGACUUUUCUUCCUGGAACGAAUGUGCAAUGACAUUGCUCUUCUCAUACACUGACACAAGGACUGAUGAGACACACAGAUGAUACAAUUACUCCACAUUAAAAGAAAUAGCUAAAACUGGGAAAUAAGUGGGUGAAAUGUUGAGUUCCAGUUAUGUUUAAAUAUGCACACACUAGAUGGUAGAACUUGUUGGCUUGAAGAGUUUGGUAAACCAGAAGAAAGAGCAACAGGAAUUGGGAGAGCACACACACACACACACUCACACGCACAUCUAGACACACCUACACACACCCACACACAUAGCUGCACCACUUGUGCUUCUCUAUUCAACAGCCGAUUGGGGAAUCUUGUCCUAAUGGGACCUCCGGUUAGCAGAGCAGUCUGCUCACAGGAACUGAGGUGAUCCGAGGUCCAAGGAGGGAGCGUGAAGCUUAAUCACACGUCUAGGAUGACAGCUACGUGUCAUCUGACCAAACCGCUGACAACAACAGAUGUUCCAACAGAGGAACAUCAAGGAGGAGAAGUAUAGGCACACACAUACAACGAAGAAAUCCACAAACACUGAGCUAAUGUGACACACAAUUUCCAGAUUAGAGAAGGAACGGGAACUGCUGGGACACUUGAUAAACACAUAUGAUAAGAAUGUUCAGGAUGCAAACAUACGCCAACGAUAUUACAGUAACAGAAUUUGAGGAUUUUGAGUUCAGAGCGUCUAUUCGGUUGCAAUGACCAAUCAUCACCAAGAUAAAACUAAGUAGCAUUAGACGCAUUCACUGGGAACAUUUGGACAGAAGGAGGGGAGAGAAGUCCGCCAUUUCAUAGAAUUGUGCCUAUUCAGAUAACUACAGCAUUGUCUCGGUUGAAAGGCAUAUAUCAUAGUAAGAAUUGAAAGUAAGAAUUGUUUUUAGGAGGCUAGAAGUUCUUGUAUGUGUUGUUUCUAUUUCACUCCAAACAGAGCUCAGAUCAUUAUUCAAUGCAGGUGGAUCCACAUGACAACAAGUGGAGAGAUGGUGUCCAUUUAUGGAGGGAGAGUAAAAUAUGAAGGGCAAGGUCUCAACCAUUGACCCACUGGUUAUGUUCUCCUCCUCAACAUGUGUUUUCAACUUGAAGCAUCACUGUGGCACCGCCACAUAUAGAGCAGUUAUUCUGUUUGUUGAUGUCAUCCCUCCAGAAACAAACAGGGAUGUGAGCAUCACUUGAAAGACACAUCCAGAGCUGCCCCUGGGGGUGGGGUGAAUAUAUGUCCUAUAGUGUUUUUUUCUUUAGUUUCAGAUACCCUGUCCCUAUAUAAUGUACUCAUGGCCUAGAAUAAUAAAGUGGCUUUAGACAUGAUGUUAGCUGGAAACGGUAACUUCUGCAAAAUGUUUGGAUCUGUUUGUUGUGCGAUCAUCUCCAACAACACAGCUCCUGGUGACUUGGUGGCCAGAGCACAAGCCCCACUGACAGCUCGAACCAGCAGCUGACAGACAACUAAGGCGACGACAAUCCUCUCACCAACGGGUUUGUCAGUAUUAUUGCACAACGGAAAAGUGCAUUCCUGUCUGCGUUAACCCUUCUUGUGUUACAGUCAUGAUCUAGUCCACUACGGAUGAAGCUGCAUCUCCUGCAUCCUUGGAUUCCUGCAGGGAUUGAUCGAUAUUGUGCUUAGUGAGACUAGUAUACAGGGAAAUCGGUAGCGAGUAGAUGAUGAGGGACAAUCACUGUUGACGGAUGUGACUGUAUGAUAAUUUUUCUGUCUUUGAGAGAUGCUCACAGUGAACUGUGAGCAAGGAGGGAAUUGUUAGGGAUUUAAGCCAGAAGUGCACCCCUAGUCAUAGAAUUUGUAGUAUGUGUAAUGAUGUUUAGUGAUAGAAUUAUAGUUUGUGUGUUAUUAGAUAUUAGUUAUUACAUUAACAUGUUAGAUGAAGUGAAUGCAAUUUCAAUCAAACACAAUUCAUAGUCAUUUAAAUCAUAUAAACACUGUACACAUUAACAUUCUGUCACAAUGUGAUGUUAAAACCUGGGGACGGAUGCCAAUUGCCGUUCUUUAUGGAUUUCUCCCAAUUUUAUCCCCAAAGAGGGUUUUUUGGGAGUUUUUUCUCCUGUCAGGUAAUAAAUGAACAACUUAAUGCGAGGCAGCCGACUGAGGCAAAUGUCUUGAGAAUUGAACCACA